rnacentral:rRNA from 1 species
AUUGAACGCUGGCGGGAGGCUUAACACAUGCAAGUCGAGCGAGCGGCGGACGGGUGAGUAAUGUCUGGGAAACUGCCUGAUGGAGGGGGAUAACUACUGGAAACGGUAGCUAAUACCGCAUACCAUCAGAUGUGCCCAGAUGGGAUUAGCUAGUAGGUGGGGUAAUGGCUCACCAAGGCGACGAUCCCUAGCUGGUUUGAGAGGAUGACCAGCCACACUGGGACUGAGACACGGUCCAGACUCCUACGGGAGGCAGCAGUGGGGAAUGUUGCACAAUGGGGGCAACCCUGAUGCAGUCAUGCCGCGUGUGUGAUGAAGGCCUUCGGGUUGUAAAGCACUUUCAGCGAGGAGGCGUUACCCGCAGAAGAAGCACCGGCUAACUCCGUGCCAGCAGCCGCGGUAAUUC